GCCUAAGUGAUGUAGUGGUAGUAAGCAAGCGUUCCCCAGUAUGGAUGAAAUGCGGGUUCGAUUCCAGCCUGGGGCC